UCUACGGAGCGCAUGAAGACACGUCCGUUUAGAUUGAAAGCUCGCUCUCAAGUGCUUAGUUAUGUCACUUUAUAGAUUUUCGGUUAAUGGUGUUUUGUGAGCGUGGCAAUGGUCCGAUUACGCCCAUCUACAAACUCGAACCUUUUUUGUACUAAGAAACCUUCAUACUAUGUUUCAUUGAGAUAUCUUAAUUUUUAGUCAAGUUACAGCUUGCACGGACCGACGGACAGACAAACAGUCAACCGGAUUUCAACUUUUCUAAUCCUACGAAAUAUUUUUUGCUUUUAUAUGACAUCGACAUUCCAGUUAUCAAGGCAUACUUCGAUUGAUUUCCAUGUUUAUUGAAAUAAAACCGUUCAAAUGCUUUAACGCACAUGAACACUUUCUGAACUGGUGUGACGCCGUAGGUAAAUAAUUCCGUUGUUACAAAACAGUAGUCAGCGUUUUUUAAUAAUUUUAUUGUGCGAACGAUUUUUCAUUUACUAAGGCCUGACUAAGAAACUGAACCUCAUUUUGCGAAAAGCUGUAUGAUCGGACUUGCUUUCAGUUAGAGCGAUUGCACAAACACAUUUGUUCAAUUCACA